UGGGUAGUCCGCACGAGCGCACCUCGCCUUCAGUUGCCAUCAUUUAGUUGGGCACUCUGGAGGAACCGCCGGUGACAAGCCGGAGGAAGGUGGGGAUGACGUCAAGUCCUCAUGGCCCUUACGGGCUGGGCCACACACGUGCUACAAUGGCGGUUACAGUGGGCAGCAAACCCGCGAGGGUGAGCGAAUCCCCAAAAGCCGUCUCAGUUCGGAUUGCAGUCUGCAACUCGAGUACAUGAAGCUGGAAUUACUAGUAAUCGCGGAUCAGCGCGCCGCGGUGAAUACGUUCCCGGGUCUUGUACACACCGCCCGUCACACCAUGGAAAUUGGUUACACCUUAAGGCAAAGUGUAAAACCUUUGACUACGGUACGAUCAGCGACUGGGGUGAAGUCGUAACAAGGUAGCCGUAGGGGAACCUGCGGCUGGAUCACCUCCUUUCU
rnacentral:rRNA from 1 species